GUGAGAUGAACCCGGUACCUCAGAUGGAAAUGCAGAAAUCACCCGUCUUCUGCGUGGCUCAGGCUGGGAGCUGUUCCUAUUCGGCCAUCUUGGCUCCUCCCCAAAGUUCUGGAGUCUGAGAAGUCAAGGAUCGGGGUGCUGGCCUAUUCAGUUCCUGGUAAGGGCUGUCUUCCUGGCUUGCAGUUGAACUUCUUCUUGCUGUGUCUUCACAACAUGCCCCCUAUCCUGUGCCGAUAAGAACCCCAGACCCCAAACUCAGCUCAUACACACACGGAAGAGAGAAGCAUCUGAACAUCAAGAAGAGAAGAAGCUGCUGGACAUCAGAAACUGUGAAAGGAGAGGAGUUUGGCUGAGCUCCAUGGGAAGACUGCCUGCACAUUCCAUCCCCUUUUCAGUUCCCCAUCCUGCUGUCAGCCACAUUCACCACUCAAUAAAAUCUUCACAUUCACCAUCCUUCAAGUCCGUGUGACCUCAUUCCUUUUGGGCACUGGACAAGGACCCAGUUGCG
rnacentral:lncRNA from 1 species